rnacentral:rRNA from 1 species
GGAUGAACGCUAGCGGCAGGCUUAAUACAUGCAAGUCGAGGGGCAGCGGGAGUAGCAAUACUUGCCGGCGACCGGCGCACGGGUGCGUAACACGUAUACAAUCUACCCUUUACAGGGGGAUAGCCCUCCGAAAGGAGGAUUAAUACCCCAUAAUAAAUUGAAUGGCAUCAUUUGAUUUUGAAAGAUUUAUCGGUAAAGGAUGAGUAUGCGUCUGAUUAGCUAGUUGGAGAGGUAACGGCUCCCCAAGGCGACGAUCAGUAGGGGAUCUGAGAGGACUACCCCCCACACUGGUACUGAGACACGGACCAGACUCCUACGGGAGGCAGCAGUAAGGAAUAUUGGUCAAUGGAGGCAACUCUGAACCAGCCAUGCCGCGUGCAGGAAGACGGCCCUAUGGGUUGUAAACUGCUUUUGUACGGGAGAAAACCCUUUCACGUGUGGGAGGUUGAUAGUACCGUAAGAAUAAGCAUCGGCUAACUUCGUGCCAGCAGCCGCGGUAAGACGAAGGAUGCAAGCGUUAUCCGGAUUCAUUGGGUUUAAAGGGAGCGUAGGUGGACUUGUAAGUCAGUGGUGAAAUCUCUCAGNNUAACUGANANNNUGCCAUUGAUACUGCAGGUCUUGAGUACAGAUGAUGUGGGCGGAAUAUGACAUGUAGUGGUGAAAUACUUAGAUAUGUCAUAGAACACCGAUUGCGAAGGCAGCUCACAAAACUGUAACUGACACUGAGGCUCGAAAGUGCGGGGAUCAAACAGGAUUAGAUACCCUGGUAGUCCGCACCGUAAACGAUGAUAACUCGUUGUUAGCGAUAUGACAGUUAGCGACCAAGCGAAAGCGAUAAGUUAUCCACCUGGGGAGUACGCCGGCAACGGUGAAACUCAAAGGAAUUGACGGGGGCCCGCACAAGCGGAGGAGCAUGUGGUUUAAUUCGAUGAUACGCGAGGAACCUUACCUGGGCUUGAAAGUUAGUGACCGUCUCUGAAAGGAGAUUUUCCGCAAGGACACGAAACUAGGUGCUGCAUGGCUGUCGUCAGCUCGUGCCGUGAGGUGUUGGGUUAAGUCCCGCAACGAGCGCAACCCCUACCAUUAGUUACCAGCGAGUAAUGUCGGGAACUCUAAUGGAACUGCCCGUGCAAACGGUGAGGAAGGUGGGGAUGACGUCAAGUCAUCACGGCCCUUACGUCCAGGGCUACACACGUGCUACAAUGGCCGGUACAACGGGCAGCUACACAGUGAUGUGAUGCUAAUCUCUAAAAACCGGUCUCAGUUCGGAUUGAAGUCUGCAACUCGACUUCAUGUAGCUGGAUUCGCUAGUAAUCGCGCAUCAGCAAUGGCGCGGUGAAUACGUUCCCGGGCC